CGUAAAGACCACCUUUUCAAAAAAAGAAAUAUGUUCAAUAUUCCCCUCAGAGGAACUUGAUUUUUAUAAAAGCGGAAAGAGAGGGAAAAUUUACAAUAAAGUAGCUAAUUUAAAAAGGCUUUCAAAGGAUGUUUUAAAAAAUGUGAAAGUAAACCUGAUAUAAAUACUUUAGAAGAGUCAGAAGAAAAUUCUACCCUGUAUUUACAAUAUCUUCAAAGUGAACAAAUAACAGCUGGGGAGUUUGACAUUUAUUGGCGCAGAUUGUGCGUCAUUUCGGUUCAAACAGAUAUCGGAAUCUCAGACAACAGCUGAAAUUUUCAAGUUAUGGCCUGACUACAUAAAACCAUCAGGUUUUCAUUUGAUUGAUAUAGAUUUCGCCCUAAAGUUUCCAAUGGCCAAAAAUUUGCAUGAACGAUGGCCUAAAUUUAGCGAACAAAUUUUGUGUGUUUUAAAAACUAAAAUUUCUUCCGCAUACAUUUCUAAAAAGCUUUGCCGAUAUUGAGUCCAAAAAUGAUGAGUCCAAAACAUUUAUGAUUUUCUGGUUUCUACAUAACCUUUUCCCACCACAACUUAAAGUUUCUACAGAGUCUAGUGGCGCAAAGUUUCGAAAAAAUACUCAAUUGCUGAUUCCCAAGAAGGAUUCGCAAUAAUAGCAAAUACAUUAGAGGAAUUGGAAGUUAAAAUCAAAUUACUGAAGCUACAAUGCCGAAAUAUACAGCCAAGAUUAUUAAUUAUAGGCGAAAUAUGCAAUAUUAAAUCUAUUUUUGUUUUUGUAGACAAUGUGAAAUAUCCAAUUUUGACAUUUUUAAAUGCUCAUGAUGUAUUGUUUAAAAUUUUUUUUAUUUAAUCUUGAGUAUCCGGAAGAAUCCGAUGUUUUUUAUAAUUUCAUACAAUCAUUUUUAUACGAUUUACCUACUACAAAAAAAUAUUCAAAAGUUU